AGCGAACGCUGGCGGCGGGCUUAACACAUGCAAGUCAAGCGGGCAUAGCAAUAUGUCAGCGGCAGACGGGUGAGUAACGCGUGGGAACGUACCUUUUGGUUCGGAACGACACAGGGAAACUUGUGCUAAUACCGGAUAAGCCCUUACGGGGAAAGAUUUAUCGCCGAAAGAUCGGCCCGCGUCUGAUUAGCUAGUUGGUGAGGUAAUGGCUCACCAAGGCGACGAUCAGUAGCUGGUCUGAGAGGAUGAUCAGCCACAUUGGGACUGAGACACGGCCUAAACUCCUACGGGAGGCAGCAGUGGGGAAUAUUGGACAAUGGGCGCGAGCCUGAUCCAGCCAUGCCGCGUGAGUGAUGAAGGCCCUAGGGUUGUAAAGCUCUUUUGUGCGGGAAGAUAAUGACGGUACCGCAAGAAUAAGCCCCGGCUAACUUCGUGCCAGCAGCCGCGGUAA
rnacentral:rRNA from 1 species